rnacentral:rRNA from 1 species
UACGGGGGGGGUAAGCGUUGUUCGGAAUUACUGGGCGUAAAGGGCUCGUAGGCGGCCAACUAAGUCAGACGUGAAAUCCCUCAGCUUAACUGGGGAACUGCGUCUGAUACUGGAUGGCUUGGAUUCGGGAGAGGAAUGCGGAAUUCCUGGUGUAGCGGUGAAAUGCGCAGAUAUCGGUAGGAACACCAGUGGCGAAGGCGGUCUCCUGGGGCAUUCUUGACGCUGAGGCGCGAAAGCUGGGGGAGCGAACGGG